rnacentral:rRNA from 1 species
CUGCUGCCUUCCGUAGGAGUUUGGGCCGUGUCUCAGUCCCAAUGUGGCCGUCCACCCUCUCAGGCCGGCUACUGAUCGUCGCCUUGGUGGGCCGUUACCCCGCCGACAAGCUAAUCAGACGCGGGUCCAUCUUACACCACCGGAGUUUUUCACACAAAUCCAUGCGGCUUCGUGCGCUUAUGCGGUAUUAGCACCUAUUUCUAAGUGUUAUCCCCCAGUGUAAGGCAGGUUACCCACGCGUUACUCACCCGUCCGCCACUAAG